rnacentral:lncRNA from 1 species
ACGGGGCAGUCAUGGUUUGGGAGCCAGGCGUGGUGGCACACAGCUAUAAACCCAGCUAUUUGGGAGGCUGAGGGUCAGAAGUGACUUUCUUCUCAGUAGUGACUUGGUUUGGAAUGUGCCCCUGGCUCCCUGGCAGCUUGGGCAGCAGAGGGCACGUUUGGCCGGUGAGCUAGAUGGACCAGGAUGCCUGUGGCUCUGUCCCCUGGGCGGCCACCCCAGCUGCCAUGCGCCCGCCCCUUGCUCUGUGACCUGUGCCCUUCCUCUGCCUGCGUGUGGACCAGCGUGUGGACCAGUGGCUGAGCCUGAGAGGGAGCACCUGGUGGAGGGACCCGCCCCUGCCGUCUUGACAGAGGACACAGCCACACUCUGCCAGCCCUGCCACUGCCGGCGGCCACUCCCUCACAGCCCAGCCUGGUCCUUGGCAGCCUCACCCCUUCUCAAGCCUUGUCUUAGCCAGCAGCCACCUCCCCUUCCAGCCCCCCAACCCCCAUGAUCCUUUAAAGGACCCCAGAGCCCCGAGGAGAGCAUCCCGUUUGGUCUCAGCGCCACAGCAGCCCACUCAGGUUUGUUCUGAAAUAAACCUGUCCUGUCGAGCUUGUGCCUUUCUUCUCCUUUCUUCCUAACUGGGAUGGCAGAGCCCGGAGUCCCUGCUAGACACAUGGAACCAGCCUGUGAUCAAGGACAUCCACCCCUUGGGGACCCCCAGCCUGCAGCUUCUGGUGACACGAUAAAGCCCCUGAGCUGGUUUUGGGG